AAGUUAAAUUAAUACUCGAAAUUAGGUGAUUGUGAAUAUGUAUAAAUAUAAUUCUGUUUCAACGGUAUUUCGAGUAACAGAGGGAGACACGUGAAAGUAAUACAAUAACAACUCGAUCGUCGAGUUUAACCGACAAUUGCCGAAUAUCCAGGCCGAUCGCCGAGUUUAGCCGAAAACCUCCGAAUACGUACGAUCGUCGGGCCUCGGCGUCCGCCGAAUGCUACCGAAAAAGAGAAACAUUCCGAAAGUCGCAACAAUGACGUUCUACGAUGAAUAUACACGUGAUAUAAAGCUAAACUAAACGAAGAUACGUAUUGAUUAAGUUAAAAAUAAUUACACCUAUUACGAUAAUUCUAUCGUUACAUCAGUGUAUCAUAACAUUGGCCAUAACAACCCUCGUGAAACUCGUGUUGAACCAAACCUAACCUCGCUACGCCUUUUUUGGCUCGCGUCUGUCUGCCCCGUUAAAUCUUGGCCAGAUUCGUGUGGACUUUGACACUGGGACGCCGCGCGUCGCGUCGCGUCGCGGUCCUGUAGAGUAGAAACCAACCGACUUGGAUCGUGGAAAGAGCCCCACCAUCGGCGUGGGCUCGCAGGCCCACGGCACACGACUGACAGUUCCCAGUCAGCUGAUCGUCCACCGAAGGGGGGGGUAAGGGGGCACAGAGCAGCAGAACAGCAGCAGCAGCAGUAGCAGCAGCAGUAAUAGUAGUAGUAGUAGAAGUAGUAGUAGCACGACCAGCAGCAGGAGGUGGUGGAGGUGGCGGAGGUGGAAGAGGGGGGUGUGGAGAAGAAGGGAAGGAGGGCAGAGGGGUUGGCGACGCGCAGUCUGCCGUCGUCGUCGGGAUCAGCUGAUCGGUGGAGGUGUACUGGUAACUGACUGACUGUGAACUCUGAAUGAACGAACGGAUGAAGAAGUCUUCGCGUGCGUACACGUAUAGGGAGAGCUCUCGCCGCUGCCUCUCCCGGGGGAGGGGGAGAGAGCGAGCGCGUAUGCGCGCCUGCCUGCCUAACUAUGCGCCAGAGAGCACUCGCGAGGGAUCGGGCACAAGCGUUUAGCGGCAAACGGAAAUAGUGGCCCGGACACGGGAUAGCCAGGAUCAUCUCUUCCAACACCGUCGCCCGCUUUCCAUCGCGAGGAGCGGGGGGGAGGGGAAAAAAAUUGGAAAUAAACUUGGAAAAUCCAAGUUUGUGACGCGUUUAUAUUAUAUCAAGAUUAAGUGGAAUUGGUUCGAGCGAGAAAUUUCUUUCGUUGUUUGCGGGACGAAGGACGACAAGAGGAGAAAGAAGGUCGACAAUCAAAAUAAACUUGUCCUUGAGCGUUCCACCGAGCGUUAAGGAGAAUUGCCUCUCUUUCGACGUAAGGACGAGCAGUGUAGAGUUACACGAGUUUUAACGUACUUUGUUUCCAAGCGUGAUAAACUUGGAAUUAUAUAUGAAACUUAUAGAGGGAAAUAAUACAGAUUAUGGAUACGCGUAAGAUAGAGAAAUAUAACGAUGGAAAAGGAGAAUUUCGAACGAGUGUUAAAAAUUGGAUCUAAUUACAUCACAUUUUUUAUUUUUUUUGCUUCAUCGAUGGAUCAUAACUUUUACAGCUAUUCAAUUAAAUUCGUUCAUCAGCCGAAAGGAUAGGAUGAUAGUAUCGAGAAGAUCGAUAUGCAAUUGCGUAAUAUGCCAUUAAACGUAUGCGUAUAUUUGUCUGGAAAAAUAGAUGGGAAAAGAGUUCGUAUGCGGAAUAUAACGAUCCGAUCAAAAUAAAAUUUUACAUAAUUCUUGUUAAAUCGUACGUUACUUUUCAAGCGCGAAAAAUUGAACCUAUAUUUACGCAAUAUUUUUUUAUUUAUUUUACAAAAAAAAUUAAAAUUGGCACAUAAAUUUAUCUUCGUUAAAUAUUUCUCCAGUUUCUAAAAAUAUAUGUAUCGUCCGUUUCAUCGAAAGAAUUUCGCUUUUAAUUGUUCUUAAUUAAUUAUUCUUCGCUUAUAAUACGCGGCUGUCAUUGUAUAUUAUAGCCGUUCGAUUCUAAUGAACGCGUUUCUCGAUAUAGAAUAGAGAGAAGCUGCGUACGCGUAAUAAACGUGCAUGUACAGUCAUCGACAAUUGAAUACGCAAUAUGCGGUUAAGAGGCCAUGUAAUCCACGACGACAGAAGAACAGCCGCUCCUUGUUCUGCCGGAGACGAUUGCAACGCCAUUACAGACGGUGUAACGAUAUAGUAACUACUCAGACAGGAUCUGUUAGUGCCGCUGUUCGUACACUCUGGAAGAAACCAGUCGUCUUCGCAUCGAUUACAUCGAACGAGCAUAGUUUUCAAAUAAAUUCGCAUGUCGUUUGUAAAUGUUUUAACCGCUGAUCCGUGAUGAUGUGUAUCUAAAUAUGUUGUACACAUUGAUAUGAUAAAAGUAAAUGAAUCGCGUAUUGGAUCAAUAAUUUGAUAGAAAAAAAAAAUCAAUAUUAAUUUAAAAAACUGUUUGCAUUGUUUUUCGUCGAAUUGA